rnacentral:tRNA from 1 species
GCCUGGGUGGCUCAGUUGGUUAAGCAUCUGACUUUGGCUCAGGUCAUGAUCUCGCGGUUUGUGAGUUCGAGCCCCACGUUGGGCU